rnacentral:rRNA from 1 species
UGACGCAUGGUCAGAUGAAAGACGGUUUCGGCUGUCACUUACAGAUGGACCGCGGCGCAUUAGCUAGUUGGUGAGGUAACGGCUCACCAAGGCGACGAUGCGUAGCCGACCUGAGAGGGUGAUCGGCCACACUGGGACUGAGACACGGCCCAGACUCCUACGGGAGGCAGCAGUAGGGAAUCUUCCGCAAUGGACGAAAGUCUGACGGAGCAACGCCGCGUGAGUGAUGAAGGUUUUCGGAUCGUAAAGCUCUGUUGUUAGGGAAGAACAAGUGCAAGAGUAACUGCUUGCACCUUGACGGUACCUAACCAGAAAGCCACGGCUAACUACGUGCCAGCAGCCGCGGUAAUACGUAGGUGGCAAGCGUUGUCCGGAAUUAUUGGGCGUAAAGGGCUCGCAGGCGGUUUCUUAAGUCUGAUGUGAAAGCCCCCGGCUCAACCGGGGAGGGUCAUUGGAAACUGGGAAACUUGAGUGCAGAAGAGGAGAGUGGAAUUCCACGUGUAGCGGUGAAAUGCGUAGAGAUGUGGAGGAACACCAGUGGCGAAGGCGACUCUCUGGUCUGUAACUGACGCUGAGGAGCGAAAGCGUGGGGAGCGAACAGGAUUAGAUACCCUGGUAGUCCACGCCGUAAACGAUGAGUGCUAAGUGUUAGGGGGUUUCCGCCCCUUAGUGCUGCAGCUAACGCAUUAAGCACUCCGCCUGGGGAGUACGGUCGCAAGACUGAAACUCAAAGGAAUUGACGGGGGCCCGCACAAGCGGUGGAGCAUGUGGUUUAAUUCGAAGCAACGCGAAGAACCUUACCAGGUCUUGACAUCCUCUGACAACCCUAGAGAUAGGGCUUUCCCUUCGGGGACAGAGUGACAGGUGGUGCAUGGUUGUCGUCAGCUCGUGUCGUGAGAUGUUGGGUUAAGUCCCGCAACGAGGCGCAACCCUUGAUCUUAGUUGCCAGCAUUUAAGUUGGGCACUCUAAGGUGACCUGCCGGUGACAAACCCGGAGGAAGGUGGGGGAUGACUCCAAAUCCAUCAUGCCC